AUAUGAAUGUCUACAAAAAGGUGUUUUGAUUGAGCUGCUGCUAGGGUUCUGUUUGGUUGCUCUGCUGAUGAAUUCUUUUGAUUUUUCCAAGCUUCAUCCUUUUCUGAUUUGGCUGUCAAGAUGGUAAAAGCUGGUUACCAAUAUAUCACAGUUCUAGGAGUUGAUUUUAUGUCAGAAAAUGUGCGGGCAAUCCUUGAUCAGGCUGGCUUCUUAGAGGUAUGGUUUGGUUUUGUGAGUUUAAAUCCUUAAAAGCCAUUGAAGCCUCAAUGGAACUUAUGUCAGCCUCAAUGGAACUUAUGUCUAUCAGACCCUUUCAAAUCGAAGGAAAAGCUCCAUUCAUCCUCCAUGUAGAAAAGGAAAAGAAUAGCGUACUGCUUUUAAUCCUCAUAGAAGAACCAUCCUAAAAUUCCUAAUUUACAACAGAAAAUAAUUGUGAAAGGCCAGUUAGAACUAUUGGGUGCAUUUGAUAUUGAAGAUAAAGCCUCUGAAAUUUGAUGUGAGCCCAAAUCAAGUGACAAGAAACAAUAUCAGAAGUGAAAAGAAAGAAGAUAUUUGAUGCGGUUUCAGUACUUCUGGGUGUUAUGAGUGCUCAUUGUUGUUGUUGAUUUUUGGAUUGGAUCUGUGUUUUUCUUGCUGAUUGAUCUUAAUUGUUGUUGGUGUUGUGAUGAUCUGGGUGUUGUGAGU